AGCCAGACCAUACGGGACCCUGGGAGCCGGACUGUGCCCCUUCCCCGGCUCACGGACCAAGGCCUGUGAGGGGGUGUGCCCAGACAGGCGGGCUUUUGCAGGACCCUGUUUCUCCAGGGAAUGGUGCCGCCCACCCCUGCCCUGGCUCAGGGUUUGUCCCAGGCCCACGUGGCUGGCUCCAUGCUGGGGGGGGGGCCUCUCGAUACCCCCCCGAACUCCUGCUCAUGCCUGCAGCCCCAGCAGCUGUUUUUCUAUGACACCCCCCCCAACACACAAGUUUUCAAACGGUGUCUAAUUUUCUAAUAAACUCACCUGCUCUGAGUGGGCCCUGGCUGG